rnacentral:rRNA from 1 species
UACGGAGGGUGCAAGCGUUAUUCGGAAUUACUGGGCGUAAAGCGUGCGUAGGUGGUUCGUUAAGUCCGUUGUGAAAGCCCCGAGCUCAACUUGGGAAUUGCAGUGGAUACUGGCGAGCUGGAGUGCGGUAGAGGAAGGUGGAAUUCCCGGUGUAGCGGUGAAAUGCGUAGAGAUCGGGAGGAACACCAGUGGCGAAGGCGGCCUUCUGGACCAGCACUGACACUCAAGCACGAAAGCGUGGGGAGCAAACAGG